rnacentral:tRNA from 1 species
GGAAUGGCAUCGAGGGUGGUAGAGCACAUGCUUAACAUGCAUGAGGUCCUGGGUUCAAUCCCCAGUACAUCCU